rnacentral:sRNA from 1 species
UGGCACUGAGGGUUUGGGUUUCGGACCAAAACGCUCUCUAUAAAAUAAGCUACAAUGGAACUGUGACUGUUAUUGGGAGCAAAAUUUAGGGUUGCAGACGCCGCAAUCUAUUCAUCAUCAAUGUUCUCUGGAAUUCUGGUUUUCGGUUGAUUUGUCAUCUUUUCAAUUCGUUUCGCUUAGCAAAUACGAUGCAAUGAAGAGAAACAGGGAAAUAAUCAUCGAUUGUGGGUCGUUCCGCAAUAUGAUACGUUUCGCCCUUGUGGUUCGUAUUCACUGAGCAUCAUCCCGGCGCUUUAUUUGUGUUUUUUUCUUUUCUUUUAUUAAAGAAUUCGUAUAUUUGCAUUGAGAAUGGAAUCGAAGGUUCCUAUGGAGGAAACGCUUUAAGUCGGUGCGUUUUUAUUCAAGUUUGCCUUCGGAGAUUGAAUCCAGAUCUCAUCUCAACUCCGAAAGUGUUCCCGUAUUUCGAUUGGAUCCACUUCUGAUGAUGAUUUUCUUACAUUAUUAUGUUUUUGUUAGUAUAAGGAAUGCGAAGGUCCCAGCAGGGGGGCGAUUACUCUUGUUGAGGCCUCUCUAACAAUCAAAUUCUAUUCCCUUCGCAUAGUUAUUCGCCGAAUCGUAGGAUGCCCAAAUUUUCUUCAAUUUUGGUAAUGUACGUUGAAGCCUAGAGCAAUUCAGAGAAAGUAUGAAAACAGAGAAAGCCUGGAAGUACGUAGAAAGUCAAGUUCUAUGUAUUUUUACUAGCAAUAAAAGCCAAAUUCUUCUCUUUGGAAGAAGCAUAACAGAGACAAAUGGCUAGCUGAAACUCUGACCAAAUUGGUGAAAAAUUCAGUCCAGCAAAUGACAUUUACUCUACCUUUUUAUUUUGUUUUUCAAGAGAUAAACUUUUACACAAUUGAAACCUUAAUGUCCUAAACUGGUCCAAUAACUCAAUCAAUGAUCCAUCAUCUGCCGGUUGGAUCAUUGACUGACUUAAGCUACACUGAAAAUAUAAUAUAUAUAUCUAACCUAUUUCUAUCACCCCUCAUUUGAUAAAUCUAACCUCAAUUUACUUUCUUCAGUCAUAACAGAUA